rnacentral:rRNA from 1 species
AGAGUUUGAUUAUGGCUCAGAAUGAACGCUGGCGGCGUGCUUAACACAUGCAAGUCGAGCGAGAAAAGGGGCAACCCUUAGUAAAGCGGCGGACGGGUGAGUAACACGUGAGUAACCUGCCCGGAUGUGGGGGAUACCUUGCCGAAAGGUGAGUUAAUACCGCAUACGAUCAUCUGGUCCUUGGACCGAAUGAUGAAAGCGGGGCCGCAAGGCCUCGCGCUUCCGGAGGGACUCGCGCCCGAUUAGCUAGUUGGUGGGGUUACGGCUCACCAAGGCAUCGAUCGGUAGCCGGCCUGAGAGGGUGUACGGCCACACUGGAACUGAGACACGGUCCAGACUCCUACGGGAGGCAGCAGUGGGGAAUCUUGCGCAAUGGGCGAAAGCCUGACGCAGCAACGCCGCGUGGAGGAUUAAGGUCUUCGGAUUGUAAACUCCUGUCGAGCGGGAAGAAAGAUCCAGGUGCUAAUACCACCCGGGUUGACUUACCGCAGAGAGCCCG